rnacentral:misc_RNA from 1 species
GCAAGAACUAGCAAUGGUGAUCCGCCAGCAUCAGAAUCCACACCAUUACUUUCAUCAAGCCCAGCAUCUGUGGCUUCUUCUAUGUUGUCAUCCUUUAGAUCUGCAUCGACGUUGGCCAUACAAAUUGCCCCUACAUCAUCGCGAUCUCCAUCAGUUUCUCAUAUUCCAUUUUCACGAACUCCUUCAGUUUCUCAUAGUCCUCGUUCUAGCACUCCAUAUGUCCAGCAAUCUCUUAGGUCCUACCACCAAUCGCCAUCUCUAAGUGUAAGUCACCGCUCAGCAGAUCUUAGGCAUGUGUCAUCGCAAAGAUCAAUUGCUUCUCAAUUAAUUUCACCCCACUCCUUGGGUUACCCAUCAAUAUCACCUCUUAACUCAAGAUACAUGUCUCCAUAUAUUCCUAGCCCAAGUAAUGCCUUGCCUUGUUUUUCAAGUUCUUCAAGUCAUCAACCGCAGCCACUGCAUUGUAGCGAGUCUGCAGCAAGUUCAAGUUUCUCCCCAUUUGCCUCCGCUCAGUCGCUUCCUGAAUGUUAAUUUGAGAUUUCAUUUUAUGA